UAAUGUGUGCAUAAAUUGAACGAGAAAAAAAGAGAGAAAAUCUAUAAAUUGGAUCAACAGGUUUAUGAGUUGUGCUUUCUUGCUCAUGAAGUUGUUCUGUUCCUUUUUCCAAGUGCAGAGAAAGCAUGUUUAUGAACUUAGGCAGUCAAUUUUAAUUGGUGAUAAUGAAAGUUGUUACUAGCAUGUAUUCCAGAAGACAAGAAGAAACUCGAGAAGCAUCGCAUGACAUGGAUGUAGUGAUUGAGCAAUUGGAAAGCAGUGGACCUUUCUACGUAGGAGCCAUAUAUGAAGCAGCUACAUAUGUGCAUGUUAAGUAUAUAUUGUAUCAGCUUUUGCUGUUUUUCAUUUUUUGAAAUUGUUAGCUAGAAUGUUGCUAUGUUAAGCUAGCUACAAUGCUUUCUUUAUUGGUUUUAUGGUCUAGAAACUUGAAUGUAUGGAUGAUUGACAAAUAUAUUGGAGCAUUGUUUCUAUGCAAAUA